UCAAUUUUACAGUCCUGCAACGGGGGUGAAAGCCCCCUGAGCAGCCUGUUCAACCCUUUGUCUUUUGCGUACUGUAUGUUUCCUCGGCGGGUCCGCCCGCCGAUAGGACACUUCAAAACCUUUUGUAAUUGCAAUCAGCGUCAGAAAAACUAUAAUAGUUA
rnacentral:misc_RNA from 1 species